AACGCACCUUGCGCUCCUUGGUAUUCCGAGGAGCAUGCCUGUUUGAGUGUCAUUAAAUUCUCAACUCCGAUCGAUUUGUUUCGACUUCGGAGCUUGGAUUUGGAGCGUGCUGGCGUCGGUCGGCUCCUCUUAAACGCAUCAGCGGAAUCUAACGUUUUGGAUGUCAGUGUGAUAAUCAUGUUGCGCUGUCAACCGAUCCUGAAAGGCCUGCUCAUAAUGGUCUUCGGACAACUUCAUAUCAAAUUUGACCUCAAAUCAGGUAGGACUACCCGCUGAACUUAA
rnacentral:misc_RNA from 1 species